AGUGAACGCUGGCGGUAGGCCUAACACAUGCAAGUCGAACGGCAGCACAGUAAGAGCUUGCUCUUACGGGUGGCGAGUGGCGGACGGGUGAGGCAUACAUCGGAAUCUACUUUUUCGUGGGGGAUAACGUAGGGAAACUUACGCUAAUACCGCAUACGUCCUACGGGUGAAAGCAGGGGAUCUUCGGACCUUGCGCGAUUGAAUGAGCCGAUGUCGGAUUAGCUAGUUGGCGGGGUAAAGGCCCACCAAGGCGACGAACCGUAGCUGGUCUGAGGGGAUGAUCCGCCACACUGGAACUGAGACACGGUCCAGACUCCUACGGGAGGCAGCAGUGGGGAAUAUUGGACAAUGGGCGCAAGCCUGAUCCAGCCAUACCGCGUGGGUGAAGAAGGCCUUCGGGUUGUAAAGCCCUUUUGUUGGGAAAGAAAAGCAGCAGGUUAAUCCCCCGCUGUUCUGACGGUACCCAAAGAAUAAGCACCGGCUAACUUCGUG
rnacentral:rRNA from 1 species